AUCCUCUGGUCCCAGUGACUGACCCAGAUUCGAUCCUGCAACAUUAUCCUAGGACAGAGGGAAACUGAGCUAGCAUUUAAGAUAUCUUCUCAUACUCACAAAUGCUUCUCAUAACCCCUUCAUCAAUCCACUUUCAGAAUUUCAUGAAAGUAUCUCCUAAUGCUGACUAUCAAGCUGAAAGACCAAGUCACACUUGUCCAAAUGUGCUGAAAUUUCAUUUCCAGCUCUUUCCAUUAUGUGCUAAGAUUGAGAAUAUUAGGACUACUGUACUAUAUCUGGAUUGCAGAAAUCAGGAUGACCAGUUGAAGGAAGCCAAGAAAUGCAGACAAUUCAUUGCUGCCAAUUCCAAUUUUUGUGAUUCAGUUGUGGUAAUCCAGGGGUUGUGAUAUCUACAUGAUCACUUAGAAAUAAUCACUCAAAAACAAUCAGGCAUAGAGGAAAUUGAUCUCAAAAAUCAGUAUAGCUUAGGCUCUAUAAAUACAUGCUUUUCUCAGUGCGUUUUUCAUCAUUAACAUUCAUAAGUAUAUAUCAACACAAGGUUACAGUUGUAUCACAAGUCAAAAAAUAUAUCACAUACCUUGAGUACUUUUCAUUUAAUA